GCAAGGUAAGCAUUACCAACAUUUAUACAAAAUACUGAAUAAACCAACAACAGGCUUUAUAUUGCAACAGAAGGACGGCAGCAGAAUUACUGAUGCUUUACUUAUAAACUGACCCUACUCGACAUUUACAGAACAAAUUAUCUUCUUCAAGGACAGAAACUUCCAGGGUUGCUCUUAUGAGACCAGUAUUGACUACGCUGAGCUCAACUCGUACCUGAGCCGCUGCAGCUCUUGCAGGGUGAAGAGCAGCUGCUUCAUGGUGUAAGAUCACUCCAACAUCAUGGGAAACCAGUUUUUUGUGCGCAGGGGCGAGUACUCUGACUGCAAGCGAUUGGGCUUGAGUGACUCCAUUCGACCCUUCUGUAUAAUCCCUCAGAUAUAGUGUUCCACUCUGAUUUUAAUUCUGUCCUUUAAUUACAUUUACAUUUAUUCAUUCAUUUAGCAGACACUUUUAUCCAAAGCAACUUACAAAAUGAGGAAGGAUUUAACAUAAGCGAUUCAUCUUAAGGAGGCAGUAAUACAAAAAUUGCUCUAUUACAAAAUUUCAGUUGCACUAGAAAAGGGCUAGCCAAGACAGAGCCACUAUAAUUGUUUAUAUUGUCAUGUGAUCACAUGACGAAUGACUUUUAAUUACUUUAGUAGGGUUUUGUUGGAAUUGCACAAACACAGGCAGCCUCACUAGUAUUAAUUUCAAACAUGUUGAACAGCACAGAGGAGCCUUCCGAAUGAGCAUCUAUGAGCGAGAGAACUUUGGUGGCAUGAUGAUGGAUGACUGUGAGUCUAUGAUGGAUCAUUAUCAUUUGUCUGACCUGUGCUCCUGUCAUGUGAUGGAUGGCCACUGGCUGCUGUAUGAAUAGCCCCACUUCAGAGGCAGAAUGAUGUACCUGAGACCUGUAGAAUACAGGAGCUUCAGAGACAUGGGCUUCAACUUCAGAUUCAGCUCCAUGGGUAGAAUCAUGGAACCCUACAAUUAAUCAUUAUGAAUCAUUAAAUUAAAUGACCUUCAUAUGUC